rnacentral:pre_miRNA from 1 species
UGUUGAAUCACCUGGGGAUCUUGUUAAAAUGCAGGUACCGAUUCAGCAGGUUGCAGGUGGGGCUGGAGAGUCUGCAUUUCUAACAGGUUCCCAGGUGAUGCAGCC